AUUGAACGCUGGCGGCAGGCUUAACACAUGCAAGUCGAACGAGUGGCGGACGGGUGAGUAAUGCUUGGGAAUCUAGCUUAUGGAGGGGGAUAACUCCGGGAAACUGUAGCUAAUACCGCGUACCAUAGGAUGAGCCCAAGUGGGAUUAGGUAGUUGGUGAGGUAAAGGCUAACCAAGCCGACGAUCUCUAGCUGUGCUGAGAGGAUGACCAGCCACACUGGGACUGAGACACGGCCCAUACUCCUACGGGAGGCAGCAGUGGGGAAUAUUGCGCAAUGGGGGCAACCCUGACGCAGCCAGGCCGCGUGUAUGAAGAAGGCCUUCGGGUUGUAAAGUACUUUCAGUCGGGAGGCGUUACCGACAGAAGAAGCACCGGCUAACUCCGUGCCAGCAGCCGCGGUAAUAC
rnacentral:rRNA from 1 species